CAUGAGUUAUGUCAUGUUAUCGACAUGUGAAUUCAUAGCAUGUCAGAAGGCAGACCCGGAGAACUGAAACAUCUUAGUACCCGGAGGAAGAGAAAGAAAAAUCGAUUCCCUGAGUAGCGGCGAGCGAAACGGGAAUAGCCCAAACCAACAAGCUUGCUUGUUGGGGUUGUAGGACACUCUAUACGGAGUUACAAAAGAACAUGUUAGACGAAUCAUCUGGAAAGAUGAAUCAAAGAAGGUAAUAAUCCUGUAGUCGAAAACAUAUUCUCUCUUGAGUGGAUCCUGAGUACGACGGAGCACGUGAAAUUCCGUCGGAAUCUGGGAGGACCAUCUCCUAAGGCUAAAUACUCUCUAGUGACCGAUAGUGAACCAGUACCGUGAGGGAAAGGUGAAAAGUACCCCGGAAGGGGAGUGAAAGAGAACUUGAAACCGUGUGCUUACAAGUAGUCAGAGCCCGUUAAUGGGUGAUGGCGUGCCUUUUGUAGAAUGAACCGGCGAGUUACGAUCUGAUGCAAGGUUAAGCAGCAAAUGUGGAGCCGCAGCGAAAGCGAGUCUGAAUAGGGCGUUGAGUAUUUGGUCGUAGACCCGAAACCAGGUGAUCUACCCUUGGUCAGGUUGAAGUUCAGGUAACACUGAAUGGAGGACCGAACCGACUUACGUUGAAAAGUGAGCGGAUGAACUGAGGGUAGCGGAGAAAUUCCAAUCGAACUUGGAGAUAGCUGGUUCUCUCCGAAAUAGCUUUAGGGCUAGCCUCAAGUGAUGAUUAUUGGAGGUAGAGCACUGUUUGGACGAGGGGCCCCUCUCGGGUUACCGAAUUCAGACAAACUCCGAAUGCCAAUUAAUUUAACUUGGGAGUCAGAACAUGGGUGAUAAGGUCCGUGUUCGAAAGGGAAACAGCCCAGACCACCAGCUAAGGUCCCAA
rnacentral:rRNA from 1 species